rnacentral:rRNA from 1 species
UACAGGGGGUGCAAACGUUGCUCGGAACCAUUGGGCGUAAAGCGCACGUAGGCGGUUCGUUAUGUCGGAUGUGAAAGCCCUUGGCUUAACCGAGGAAGUGCAUCCGAAACUGGCGAGCUAGAGUACUAAAGAGGAUCGCGGAAUUCCCGGUGUAGAGGUGAAAUUCGUAGAUAUCGGGAGGAACACCGGUGGCGAAGGCGGCGAUCUGGGUAGAUACUGACGCUGAGGUGCGAAAGCGUGGGGAGCAAACAGG